UGUGUUAUGAUACUGGCAGCAGCGAGACUGAGUCAGAUACUGUGGUGGAGAAGCCCGAAGAAGAAUCAGAUUUUGAUUUGUACGUAUGCUUUUGCUGUUUGUUAAUAUAUUAUAUAUUUGAGCUAUAUUCUUUGUAAUGUGGAAGUCUUAGCUGCAUUAAUGUCGCAAGUGUUGGAAUUGAACCACUCAACUCCCCCCUCUUCUGGAGAUAUGCUUCACCCACUCUCAAACA
rnacentral:lncRNA from 1 species